rnacentral:rRNA from 1 species
GACGAACGCUGGCGGCGUGCUUAACACAUGCAAGUCGAACGGAAAGGCCCUGCUUUUGUGGGGUGCUCGAGUGGCGAACGGGUGAGUAACACGUGAGUAACCUGCCCUUGACUUUGGGAUAACUUCAGGAAACUGGGGCUAAUACCGGAUAGGAGCUCCUGCUGCAUGGUGGGGGUUGGAAAGUUUCGGCGGUUGGGGAUGGACUCGCGGCUUAUCAGCUUGUUGGUGGGGUAGUGGCUUACCAAGGCUUUGACGGGUAGCCGGCCUGAGAGGGUGACCGGCCACAUUGGGACUGAGAUACGGCCCAGACUCCUACGGGAGGCAGCAGUGGGGAAUAUUGCACAAUGGGCGGAAGCCUGAUGCAGCAACGCCGCGUGCGGGAUGACGGCCUUCGGGUUGUAAACCGCUUUCGCCUGCGACGAAGCGUGAGUGACGGUAAUGGGGAAAGAAGCACCGGCUAACUACGU